AUAACGUAGGACCUAGGUAAAACUUUUCCGUAGUCAGUAUUAUAAAUUAUGAGUCCUGUUGACGCUAAUUUUCAUCUAUUGUUCAUUUUAGUUGAUAAAUAUCAAAAUAAUUGUGUAAUUCAUGAUGAAUGAUAAAAAUGGCCGCGAAUGCAAACAGAUCGAUAUAAAAAUGAGGUUGCAGUGUUGCGGUUCAUUGUGCUACUCUGGUAGCAUUUUGUAAAGCAUAUCACCACGAGACAUGGCUGUAAUUAAUUACCCACUGAUAUUUGAUGUUUGUAAUACAAAAUAUACGGUUACCGGUACUUUAUUUACACACGGGAGCUCGACAGCAAAACAAAUGGCCCGAAGCUUAACAAAAGUCAUUAUUGACUUUGUGCAUUAAGGCGGAUAUUUGAUAAUGAUAUGAAUAGGUGCAUUACACGAUACAACAUGGAAUUUGUUUACCUCUGUUGCCGAUAAGAACUGACUUCUGAAUUACGAUGAACUUCUACAGAAUUCAAAAUAAUUCGGUUUUACAUCGUUUUUCGCUGUGAAAUAACUAAAAAAUUAUGCACCAAUUCGUCAAGCUCCAUUAGUUCUCCAUAUGGUGCUUAAUUUUAGUUUUUUUUUUUUUUUCAAACUGGAUCGAAACUUCUAUUAUGAGACAUUCCUGAAAUUCUUUUCCGCAAAAUCAUUCGAGGAUAUUGUCUUUCCCGACAAUUGGCAAUACGUUAUCGAAUCAAUUGAAUCCUUCUUCGAAUGCAUUGCCCGAUUUUUGUCUUCUCUUCCUGUAAAAAAAAUUAUUCUAAAAAGUUGGAAAAACUCCGAAAUCGAUUGUGCAACUAAUAUAAUUACUAGUAGAUGUGUACAAAUUAUAGUGUGAGAGACUCAAAGUGAGUAGAACUCCAGAAAUAAGUGCAAAAAAGAAAAUCCGUUGAAUUAUAGUUUUGAAAUGACAUUUAUUUCGUCAAAAGCGAUACAAUGAAGUUGUUUUCUCAGAUUUGAACAAACGAAAAAGAAACAAUCAACUUAUGUGGGAAUUUUAUUUUGAUUUCGAAUCGACAUCAUUUUAAAAAAAAAUACUAACAAUAAAACGAACUAAAUAUUUGAUAUUGUUCGUGAUGAAUUUUCAUUAUAUUGACAAAAAUGAUCAAACUAAUUUUGUCUAUGUGUAAAUAAAUUGAAAUAAAUUCUUGAAAUGACAA